AAGUCGUAACAAGGUUUCCGUAGGUGAACCUGCGGAAGGAUCAUUAACACGUUUCUAUCAUAAAACGUAACACCAAACGCGAACUAAGUUAUUUCGAUCCUCGACCGUGCAUGUGAAUUGACAGUCUGUGUGAGAUAUGAAGUGGACGGCCUUCGGGCUUGCAUCUCGCCUCGCUACCAGUUGUGCUAAGACAUUCGUGUCUUGGUACAGACAAUUGUGAUGCACAUCAGUCAGGACACCAUCUUGCUUGCAACUUGCCUCAUCUUCAUGUGAGCUGCAAGCGAGAGUCACACCACUAUUCACCAAUUUCACCCAUACACUUUUUGCUAGUUGACUUUAUAUGCCACUAUUCGUUUUACGAAUCGUAGCACGUUUAUUAAUUGAACGUUAAAUUGUACAACUCUUAGCAAUGGAUAUCUUGGUUCUC
rnacentral:misc_RNA from 1 species